UCAUAUAUUUUACCUUGCCUUCUUCACGAAAAUUGAUUGCUGAUUUAUUCUGUUGUCUGCUAAUUACGGCAUUCAUAUCUUCCAUCGUGGAAAGUGCAUGUAAUCAAGGAUGCAUAUUAGACUAUGAAUGUUAUUUUUCAAAAUUCAAACUGAAGUUAUUUGCUUGCUAUGGAAGAGUUCUUGUGUGGGUUCGUAGAGUGAUUUUUGGCAAGCGUCUCAUCGGCUAUGGAAGCAGCCAAUGAUUAAUUGGUCAAGCUCAGAUUUGUACAGAAGAGGCCUGAUCUUGCAAUAGUAUUUACCGGGACUGUACUUUCCACCACCGUGAUUGCGAGGCUCAUGUAUUGUCUUUGAUGUGUAGGUCGUAAGAGAAAUAAAGAAAAUCAGUCAGAUGGUUCACUUGCUGGUAUUAGCGUAACCAUUGCCUGACAUUCAUCAAUUGAGCAUUGUACUUUAUGCCGUGUUUGUUUAAGGUAGGAACACCACGUGUUUGUGUUUUUUAUUCACCACCGGCACCAUGUUGCAGGCAGGAUUUAUUAUUUCUGCAAAGACGCGCUGAAAACAUUAAGAAAUCCAGGACCAUCGGGACUUCGUCAGCGUUUGACAAUAUCAGCUCAGGAAAAAAUGGUAUUCACGCUCUCUCAUUGUGUAGACUUGCUGAUUUGUGAUCGAUGUCUUACAAUGUAUGCAUCAUUCUUCGCUUUUUAUUAUCGCAGCCACGAGUCGUGUCCCU
rnacentral:lncRNA from 1 species